rnacentral:rRNA from 1 species
AUUGAACGCUGGCGGCAUGCCUUACACAUGCAAGUCGAACGGCAGCACGGGAGCAAUCCUGGUGGCGAGUGGCGAACGGGUGAGUAAUAUAUCGGAACGUGCCCAGUCGUGGGGAAUAACGCAGCGAAAGCUGUGCUAAUACCGCAUACGAUCUACGGAUGAAAGCGGGGGAUCGCAAGACCUCGCGCGAUUGGAGCGGCCGAUAUCAGAUUAGCUAGUUGGUGGGGUAAAGGCCCACCAAGGGGACGAUCUGUAGCUGGUCUGAGAGGACGACCAGCCACACUGGAACUGAGACACGGUCCAGACUCCUACGGGAGGCAGCAGUGGGGAAUUUUGGACAAUGGGCGCAAGCCUGAUCCAGCAAUGCCGCGUGCAGGAUGAAGGCCUUCGGGUUGUAAACUGCUUUUGUACGGAACGAAACGGCCCUUUCUAAUACAGGGGGCUAAUGACGGUACCGUAAGAAUAAGCACCGGCUAACUACGUGCCAGCCGCCGCAGUAA